rnacentral:lncRNA from 1 species
ACCAAAUUGAAAAAGAACUUAGAAUUUUUAUCCCCUAUAUUCAACAAAUCCUUCCACCAAAGGAUGCUCUCUUCAACUUCAGUAAGCCUUACAUACUCCUUCAUAAGAAUAGGCUCAGCUAUGUGUAUCUUUAAAUCUGAAGGAUUUGUUUGCAUCAGACAUUAAGCCUCUUCCAUUGCCUUCUUAGCUAAAUGGAAUCUUAUUAAAGUACUUCCUAUCCUAAAUCUUACCAAAGUACUUCUUAUUAAAGUAUCUCAAAACUCCUUUAACAUUUUUCAACUUGUUACACAAAACAAACAUAGGAGUGCCCGUGACCUCCUUACACCAAGCCUCAAAAAUUAGAGGGAAAAAAGAGGAUGAUCAGCUCAACAAUCAAAGAACUUGAAUGGAAUCUUUGUUUCCAACAAACUCGCCAUCUUCACUAAUAUAGGAGAGUGACCUGAGAUACCGAAGGUAAGAAAACAAGUUUCCAAACCUGUAAAAUCACAGUUCCAUUUGACAUUAAUAAGAACUUGAUCCAACUUCUUCAAGAUAGUAUUGUUACAUUGUCAAUUAGUCCAAAUGCAUCUAGAACCUGUGAAUCUAAGAUCUUCUAGACAUGCCUGAAUCACACAAUUGUUGAGGUCAUUCUGCCACCCCGACCAUGAUGUAGUGCCACCCGUUCUUCUCAUCGAGAGAUCGAAUAGCAUUAAAAUCUCCCAACAAAAUCCACAUAAUAGUCUCCCAAGCACUACAGUAAAUAAUAUCACCCCACAAAGCCUCUUGUUUAGACGAACAGGUAUCUCUAUAGAUAAGGGAAGUAUUGAAUGAAAUGUUUGAU